GGGCUCUCGGGUGAAAUUUGUUAGCUGUGAUCUUAGAGUGAUGAAGGGUGUCCCAUUGGUGCAACGUGAGGACUGAGGUGUGGAACAGGUGGGGUGUGCGUGGUCGGAAAUGCGGGGGCGUCCAUAGAAUAGGUAUCAGGGAACCACCAGGUGCGGUGGCGUGCUCCAUAUCUACCCAUUGGAAGGUUCCUUUUGCGGCGUGGAGUUUAAUUGCC